GGGCGUGAAAUGGUUAGAGUAAGAAAUCGAAAGAUGACGUUACUAACGCAGGUUCGAUUCCUGCCACGUCCA
rnacentral:tRNA from 1 species